CCGGCGAACCGGCGGACGGGUGCGUAACGCGUAUGUAACCUACCUUUGACAGGGGGAUAACAUCGAGAAAUUGGUACUAAUACCCCAUUAACCAUCACCGGAGGCAUCUUCGGUGGUUGAAAACUCAGGUGGUCAGAGAUGGACAUGCGUUGUAUUAGCUAGUUGGUGAGGUAACGGCUCACCAAGGCGACGAUACAUAGGGGGACUGAGAGGUCAACCCCCCACAUUGGUACUGAGACACGGACCAAACUCCUACGGAAGGCAGCAG
rnacentral:rRNA from 1 species